GGUCUUUCUUCCAUUCCUGGUAUGAAAUCUUUAAACGUGCUUUAUACGACGGCCAAACGAGACCCACUAGUUUUGAUAGAAGAAAACAGGCGUCGUCUUGCAUCUAAAGCGGGAUUUGACGUAGAGACACUUUACAUUGCAAAAGCCGUUCAUGGGAAUACGGUUUAUGAAAUAGGAACAGAUCCUCCUGAUGGAGGCUAUGAUGGCGUAAUCAGCAAUAAAUCGAACGUCACAUGCGCAGCCCCUGGCGCAGACUGCGUUAUCAUCCUCUUUGCAGACCCAAUACAACACGUCUUUGCUGCCAUUCAUUCAGGGUGGAAAGGCACAGUAGCAAAGAUCCCAUCAGUGACAGUGAGAAGUAUGCACGGGAAGUUUGGAAGUAAACUAGAAGAUAUAGUAGUUGUAAUGGGGCCAUCAAUUUGCAAGAACUGUUUUGAGUUUGGUAAAGACGACAUCCAACAAUUUGAGGACAUCAACCCUCAAUGUGUCCUUCACAAAGGCUUGGAUGGAAAUCCCACGAUAGAUCUUAAGCUUGCUAUUCGUACUCUGUUAGAAGAAGAAGGUGUUUUGCCGGAACACAUUGAUGACACGACCACUUGCCCAUGUACGGUGGAGAACCCGAAUCAGCUCUACUCUUAUCGAAGAGACGGGCGGCCAUUCGGAAACCAGAUUGGUUUCAUUGGACUAAGGUCAAACUAAAGAUUUAAUUGAAAUACUGACUAAUGUAACAGUGUCUUUUAGAAUUUUGAAAAAAUGUGCAACACAUUUUUGGUUUUUAUAUUCCAACAGAGAAAGAUUCGUUUUCAUGUUUAUUGUUAUAAUCCUUCAAAUUACAUUAUGUAUGUUAUCAUGCAUGUACAUGCACUGACAUAACCUUAGCUAUGUUGUAUUCAGAAGCAUAUUUAAAAUAACAUUGUAGAAAAAAAUCAAUGGCUAGAUAAACGUAUAUUUUUGAUAAGUACUAUUAUGAUUAACGUUUUACAUAUUUUAUUUUAUACAGUUAUAUUCAGCUGUUUAAAAGACCUAAUGUAGUCUUCAUGAUUCAUAAGUUAAUUAAUGAUUUAUUAAUAAACAUUUUCC
rnacentral:misc_RNA from 1 species